CAGAGUACUUAGAAACAUGAUUGAGUGCAGCGUUGAUGACAUAUUUGAGAAGUCCUGCAUUUGGGCCUUCCUCAUUUUUCAUCAACGCUAAACUCGAUCAUGUUUUUAAUUCUCUG